AGUAUUGAGCCGGAAUAACGGAUAGCACUGAUGCAGCUAAUUAUGAGUAACUUCUCCAAUACUU
rnacentral:tRNA from 1 species